AUUUGGGAAGGGCCUCUUUCUGCCCCCUGCCCGCUCUGCUUUUCCUCCUUCUUCCAUCCUACGAAGGGCUCCAGCAGCUGUCCUGGACCAUGAGGUGGCCUUGAGGAAGAAGCCACAAGCUAGGAGGGAGGAGCAGAAAGAUAGGGACCUGAGCCCCUGAUGACACCACAGAGCCGCCAUACUUGUCCUGCAUGGCCAACGUGUAGAUCUGGACACGAGAGAGAUAAGCUUCUGUCUUGUGCAAGCUACCACCCCCACCGAAGUCCCAUGUGAAUAUCCAGUACCCCAAGGACACUUGCAAUGUCACACUGGCCUCACGCUUUCACUUUCUGAUGAACGUGGCCUUGACACAUCUCCAACUGACACCUGUUGAAACAAAUGUACCUUUCCAUCCUACAGGACGUCCACAUAUAACAAAAGACAUGAUUACACCGUAGAUGAGGAAACUGAGGCACAGAAAAGGAUGAGGAUGAGCCAGAAUUCAAAGCCAGGCAGUCUGAUUCUGAGCCUAUCCACUCAACCACCUUGCACAGCUCCCUCUAAUGCAAAGACCCCUCAUAAGGGCCAGGAGUUUUACUAACAUUGCCAGAAGUCUCGCAGCAAACUGGGGGCCUCACACACGAUCUAGCCGCACAUUAGAACCAGCUGAGAAGGCUGUAAAGCACACCUAGGCCUGGAGCAAACACCAUAAUGGGUUGUCAUCUGGGGACUCGAAUGAAGAGUGAUGCGGAAGCCCUGCGCUCUCCUUGUACUGUUUUUGUACCUCUCAAGUUUCAUCAAAAUUUUUUUUAAAAAGUGAAAGUAACUAAAGAACGUAGUAGGACAAUAUUAGCUGACCUGGAGGGAUUUCUCCAGGAAUUGUUAGCAAGAGGUGCUAAUAAAAGUGUUACUUACAAGAUCCAGAAACGUGCGUGUGUGUGAUGUGAUC
ensembl:lncRNA